rnacentral:rRNA from 1 species
AUUGAACGCUGGCGGCAGGCCUAACACAUGCAAGUCGAACUAUUGGCGGACGGGUGAGUAAUGUCUUGGAAACUGCCCGAUGCAGGUGGCUAACUACUGGAAACUGUAGCUAAUACCGCAUACCCUCGUCUGUGCCCAUCUGCGAUUAUCUAGUAGGUGGGGUAACGGCUCACCUAGGCGACGAUCCCUAGCUGGUCUGAGAGGAUGACCAGCCACACUGGAACUGAGACACAGUCCCGACUCCUACGGGAGGCAGCAGUGGAGAAUAUUGCACGAUGGGCGAAAGCCUGAUGCAGCAAUUGCGCGUGUAUGAAGAAGGCCUUCGGGUUGUAAAGGACUGUCGGCGAGGAGGCGUUACUCGCAGAAAAAGCACCGGCUAACUCCGUGCCAGCAGCCGCGGUAAUUC